rnacentral:rRNA from 1 species
GUACGGCGAGUGAAGAGGAAGAGCUCAAAGUUGGAACCUGUUUGGCCUAGCUAAACNNNNNNNNNNNNNNNAGAAGUGUUUUCCAGGCAAUCCGAGUUAAUAAGUCCUUUGGAACAGGGCAUCAUAGAGGGUGAGAAUCCCGUCUUUGAUUCGAGAUAUUUUGUCUUUUGCGAUACACUUUCAAAGAGUCAGGUUGUUUGGGAAUGCAGCCUAAAUUGGGUGGUAAAUCUCACCUAAAGCUAAAUAUUGGCGAGAAACCGAUAGCGAACAAGUACCGUGAGGGAAAGAUGAAAAGAACUUUGAAAAGAGAGUUAAACAGUAUGUGAAAUUGUUAAAAGGGAACCGUUUGGAGCCAGACUGGCUUGUCUGUAAUCAAUCUAGGUUUCGUGCCUGGAUGCACUUGCAGACUAUUUGCCUGCCAACGACAAUUUUUUUUGAGUGUAAAAACUAUUGGAAAUGUGGCCAAUAUUUAUUUAUUGGUGUUAUAGUCCUUUAGAAAAUACCUUGAAUUGGAUUGAGGAACGCAGCGAAUGCUUCUCUUUUGAGGCAAAGUCUUUUAUUGGGAUUUACGGAUCAGACUGUGGCAUUGUCACAAGACUUGAAGUUUAAACCUAUUUUUGAACUUUUAUUCGCUUAGGUUGUUGGCUUAAUG